rnacentral:pre_miRNA from 1 species
GGCCCAAAUUUAAAGUAGAGUAGAUUAGUAGCAUCAGUUGACCGUGAUAAACUGCUGUAUUUCAAAUUUGGGCCC